AUGUGGUUCAGUGGUAGGAUGCUUACCUAGAAUGUAUGAGGCCCUGGGUUCAAUCCCCAAUCCACACA
rnacentral:tRNA from 1 species